GAUGAAGAACGUAGCGAAAUGCGAUACUUGGUGUGAAUUGCAGAAUCCCGUGAACCAUCGAGUCUUUGAACGCAAGUUGCGCCUCAAGCCAUUAGGUUGAGGGCACGUCUGCCUGGGCGUCACAUAUCGUUGCCUGAUGCCAGUUUCCUCGUGAUGGGUGACUGUGCAGGGCGAAUGAUGGCUUCCCGUGAGCAUUGUUGCCUCAUGGUUGGUUGAAAAUUGAGUCCUUGGUAGGGACCGCCGUGAUAGAUGGUGGUUGAGUGACGAACGAGACCCAAUCAUGUGAGACCCCUACCGAAUUUGGCCUUCAUGACCCACAUGCGUCUUUGGAACGCUCAUGACGAGACCUCAGGUCAGGCGGGGCUACCCGCUGAGUUUAAGCAUAUCAAUAAGCGGAGGA
rnacentral:misc_RNA from 1 species